rnacentral:rRNA from 1 species
GACGUAGGGGACGAGCGUUGUCCGGAUUUAUUGGGCGUAAAGAGCGCGUAGGCGGCUUGGUAAGUCGGAUGUGAAAUCCCGGGGCUCAACCCCGUGACUGCACCCGAAACUGCCCGGCUAGAGGUAGGUAGGGGAGAUCGGAAUUCCUGGUGUAGCGGUGAAAUGCGUAGAUAUCGGGAGGAACACCUGUGGCGAAGGCGGCACUCUGGGCCGGUACUGACGCUGAGGAGCGAAAGCGUGGGGAGCAAACAGG